UUAGUGUACUCGUCGCCACCAAGGAGUGAAGCUGUGUUUUCCACGCCUGUGAUACUUUGUAGAUAAAUUAAGCACUAGUGUGUGUUAGAGAUAUUUAUAUAUGUUGUAAAGAGAUUCUUUUAUUUAUUUUGCAUAGUGUUGUGUUGCUUUAUAGCAUGAAUUUGGUGCAGCCUGUCAACUCCGUCCCAACAGUGUUUUCUUACCUGUAUAAAUGAAUAUUCAGGAAUGCGAUGACAAGUUGUUAUUGAUCACGGGUCUUGUUUGUAUUGGAGAUACCCAGCCUGGACAGAGGCUUUCCCUGGUGUUAAUUCAACUCCCGAACAGCACUACCAGCAAGAAAGAGAGUUGGCGUGACCGAAGAAGGGUUUAGCAGUCCUCCUGUGCUCCUCAAAGUGCCUGCUCUAAAUAAGCGCCCAGCCAUGCACCCGAAUAUGACGUCCAAGGAGGUAAAUAGGAUUAUCUUAAAACAGUUUACAGUUAUUAUAUCUGUAGAAAAGACUGUUGGAAAAAGAUAGUUAUUGUGUAAUAUUUAGGCAAUAUGUAUUAGAACUACGAUCUUCAUAUGUAAUGAUAAUGAUCAUAAUAUUAAUGACAACAGUGGUGAGAGUAAUAAUGAUAAUGAUGGAAGUAA
rnacentral:misc_RNA from 1 species